rnacentral:rRNA from 1 species
CGUGCCUACGGGACGCAGCAGUGGGGAAUAUUGCACAAUGGGGGAAACCCUGAUGCAGCGACGCCGCGUGAGUGAAGAAGUAAUUCGUUAUGUAAAGCUCUAUCAGCAGGGAAGAAAAUGACGGUACCUGAGUAAGAAGCCCCGGCUAACUACGUGCCAGCAGCCGCGGUAAUACGUAGGGGGCAAGCGUUAUCCGGAUUUACUGGGUGUAAAGGGAGCGUAGACGGCCAGACACGUCAGAAGUGAAAGCCCAGGGCUCAACCCUGGGACUGCUUUUGAAACUGCCGGGCUGG